rnacentral:rRNA from 1 species
GACGAACGCUGGCGGCGUGCUUAACACAUGCAAGUCGAACGGAAAGGCCCUGCUUUUGUGGGGUGCUCGAGUGGCGAACGGGUGAGUAACAUGUGAGUAACCUGCCCUUGACUUUGGGAUAACUUCAGGAAACUGGGGCUAAUACCGGAUAGGAGCUCCUGCUGCAUGGUGGGGGUUGGAAAGUUUCGGCGGUUGGGGAUGGACUCGCGGCUUAUCAGCUUGUUGGUGGGGUAGUGGCUUACCAAGGCUUUGACGGUUAGCCGGCCUGAGAGGGUGACCGGCCACAUUGGGACUGAGAUACGGCCCAGACUCCUACGGGAGGCAGCAGUGGGGAAUAUUGCACAAUGGGCGGAAGCCUGAUGCAGCAACGCCGCGUGCGGGAUGACGGCCUUCGGGUUGUAAACCGCUUUCGCCUGUGACGAAGCGUGAGUGACGGUAAUGGGUAAAGAAGCACCGGCUAACUACGUG